rnacentral:rRNA from 1 species
GUCCACGCCUAACGAUGAUUACUCGAUGUGUGCAAUACACCGUACGCGUCUGAGCGAAGCAUUAAGUAAUCCACCUGGGAGUACGACCGCAAGGUUGAACUCAAAGGAAUUGACGGGCCCGCACAAGCGGAGGAGCAUGUGGUUUAAUUCGAUGAUACGCGAGGAACCUUACCAGGGCUUGAAGUUAAGGAAUGAUGUAGAAAUAUGUCAGUCAGCAAUGACCUAAAACUAGGUGCUGCAUGGCUGUCGU